rnacentral:rRNA from 1 species
AUACGGAGGGUGCAAGCGUUGUUCGGAAUCACUGGGCGUAAAGGGCGCGCAGGCGGUUUGGUAAGUCAGAUGUGAAAGCCCACGGCUCAACCGUGGAAGUGCAUUUGAAACUGCCAGACUUGAGUACCAGAGGGGAAAGUGGAAUUCCCGGUGUAGAGGUGAAAUUCGUAGAUAUCGGGAGGAAUACCGGUGGCGAAGGCGACUUUCUGGCUGGAUUCUGACGCUGAGGCGCGAAAGCGUGGGGAGCAAACAGGAUUAGAAACCCUAGUAGUCC